CUAGCCCUAGGGGGGCAGCAGUAGGGAAUCUUCCACAAUGGGCGCAAGCCUGAUGGAGCAACACCGCGUGAGUGAAGAAGGGUUUCGGCUCGUAAAGCUCUGUUGUUGGAGAAGAACGUGCGUGAGAGUAACUGUUCACGCAGUGACGGUAUCCAACCAGAAAGGCACGGCUAACUACGUGCCAGCAGCCGCGGUAACACGUAGGUGGCAAGCGUUAUCCGGAUUUAUUGGGCGUAAA
rnacentral:rRNA from 1 species